rnacentral:misc_RNA from 1 species
UCGCCUAUUUUUUCAAUUUUAACGAAAUUAUCCAUGUUAACUCUUUGAUCAAUCAUUAACACCACUAAUUACGAACUUUAGCUAUUGUGCAAUGACAAUGGGGUCGGCGACCGGGAAAAUUGGUAUGUUGUAUUCGGUGGAUUAUCACGCCCGCAAGAGAAAAGUAACGACCGAAUUCAAAUGCGACAACGGAGAGUACGCCAUAUUGGGCAAAACCAAUCAGAACACGUGUCUUAAGUCACAGCUGCUCUUUGCGCAAGCGCACUUACGAAGCGCGGGAUGUUUCAGCAAAAAAAUUGCAUUUCCUGGUAGACACUGACUCGGAUAUCUGUGAGCUCGACAGCUGCACGCCGUGGUGUUAUGCAAACGCUAUCGGCUAUCCCAUUACACCAUGCUACGAGUAACGAUAUUUACUAACUUUCUCAUUUGGGAAACUCUCAUAUUUCUCCGUGCUCUCACAAUUAAAUAAAAUUUAAGGAGUUACCAAUUUUCAACGAAUUUAAGAAUAAGUCAAGUAUUCUGAAUA